rnacentral:rRNA from 1 species
GACGAACGCUGGCGGCGUGCCUAAUACAUGCAAGUAGAACGCAGUUGCGAACGGGUGAGUAGCGCGUAGGUAACUGGCUGGGAGCGGGGGAUAACUAUGGGAAACGAUAGCUAAUACCGCAUACUACCAGAUUGACCUGCGUUGUAUUAGCUAGUUGGUGUGGUAACGGCUCACCAAGGCAACGAUACAUGACCGAUCUGAGAGGAUGACCGGCCACACUGGAACUGAGACACGGCCCAGACUCCUACGGGAGGCAGCAGUGGGGAAUCUUCGGCAAUGGGCGCAACCCUGACCCAGCCAUGCCGCGUGAGUGAAGAAGGUUUUCGGAUCGUAAAGCUCUUUUGUUAGGGAAGCUGUCCUACCCAGAAAGGGCCGGCUAACUACGUGCCAGCAGCCGCGGUAAUUC